AUGCAAGUCGAGGGGUAUUGGUUUUCGGACCAAGAGACCGGCGCACGGGUGCGUAACGCGUAUGCAAUCUACCUUUUGCAGAGGGAUAGCCCAGAGAAAUUUGGAUUAAUACCUCAUAGUAUAGCAGUUUCGCAUGAAACCACUAUUAAAGUCACAACGGCAAAAGAUGAGCAUGCGUCCCAUUAGCUAGUUGGUAAGGUAACGGCUUACCAAGGCUACGAUGGGUAGGGGUCCUGAGAGGGAGAUCCCCCACACUGGUACUGAGACACGGACCAGACUCCUACGGGAGGCAGCAGUGAGGAAUAUUGGACAAUGGGCGCAAGCCUGAUCCAGCCAUGCCGCGUGCAGGAUGACGGUCCUAUGGAUUGUAAACUGCUUUUGUACAGGAAGAAACACUCCCUCGUGAGGGAGCUUGACGGUACUGUAAGAAUAAGGAUCGGCUAACUCCGUGCCAGCAGCCGCGGUAAUACGGAGGAUCCAAGCGUUAUCCGGAAUCAUUGGGUUUAAAGGGUCCGUAGGCGGUUUAGUAAGUCAGUGGUGAAAGCCCAUCGCUCAACGGUGGAACGGCCAUUGAUACUGCUAGACUUGAAUUAUUAGGAAGUAACUAGAAUAUGUAGUGUAGCGGUGAAAUGCUUAGAGAUUACAUGGAAUACCAAUUGCGAAGGCAGGUUACUACUAAUGGAUUGACGCUGAUGGACGAAAGCGUGGGUAGCGAACAGGAUUAGAUACCCUGGUAGUCCACGCCGUAAACGAUGGAUACUAGCUGUUGGGAGCAAUCUCAGUGGCUAAGCGAAAGUGAUAAGUAUCCCACCUGGGGAGUACGUUCGCAAGAAUGAAACUCAAAGGAAUUGACGGGGGCCCGCACAAGCGGUGGAGCAUGUGGUUUAAUUCGAUGAUACGCGAGGAACCUUA
rnacentral:rRNA from 1 species